rnacentral:lncRNA from 1 species
GAUUCAACCAACUGUAGAUUGCAAUAGUCAGGAAAAAGUGGCUCACGCCUGUAAUCCCAGCACUUUGGGAGGCUGAGGUGGGUGGAUCACUUGAGGUCAGGAUUUCCAGACCAGUCUGACCAACAUGUCAUAUAAUCAUCCAUAUAUUUCACAUAAGGGACUUGAGCAUUAUGGGUUUUGGUAUCCAUGGGGGGAUGUUGGAACCAAUCCCCCACAGAUACUGAGAGAUAACUGUAUAUGUUUUAUUAUGUUAGAAAAGUUACCAUCCUUUAAAAAUGUAAAAAUCGUUCUUAGCUCAUGAGCUGGAGAAAACAGUCUGCAGGUCAGAUUUGGCCAGCGGGCUAUAGUUUGCCAAAUCCUGAUCUAUAGUCUCCCUCCCCUGUUUUUCCUCCCUCUCCCUCCUCUUCCCCCUCCCCUUGU